rfam:Bacillus selenatarsenatis SF-1 DNA, contig: BSSF00016.
ACGUUCGGGUAAUCGCUGCAGCUCUGCUGCAGAGGAAAGUCCAUGCUCGCACAGGCUGAGAUGCCUGUAGUGUUCGUGCCUGGCCAAUUCAUAAGCCAGGGCAGUCGGGCUCACGCUCGGCUGACGGCCGGGAAAAUGCCUAAGUCGGCAACGAUAUGGCAUGAAUACCUAUAAAAGUGCCACAGUGACGGAGCCUUUCGAGAAAUCGAAAGGGUGGAACGAGGUAAACCCCACGAGCGAGAAACCCAAACGAUGGUAGGGGCACUUUCCUGGAGGAACUGAACGAAGGGAAGGACAGAUGAGUUCUCAUCUGUAGAUAGAUGAUUACCACCGGAGUACGAGACCUAUGGUCGUUUGCAGUACAAAGGUACAAAACAUGGCUUACAGAA